AAUUUUUGUGUUUUUAGUAGAGAUGGGGUUUCACCAUGUUGGCCGGGCUGGUCUCGAACUCCUGACCUUAAGUGAUCUGCCUGCAUCAGCCUCCCAAAGUGCUGGGAUUACAAGCAUGAGCCACCAUGCCCAGCCAAGUACAGACUUUUUCUUUGGUUAUUAUUCCCUAAAACAGUACAGUAUAACAACUAUUUACGCAGCAUUUACAUUGUAUUCAGCAUCAUGAGUAAUCUAGAAAUGAUUUCCUGCAUAUAGGAGGAUGUACAUAGGUUCUAUGCCAAUAGUGCACAGUGCUCGCUGUGUUUAAAGAAAUAUCCUAGGUAUAGAAUAAAUAAUUUUGAAGUCAGUGUGUUGAGAAAACACUGACAUGGAUAGAAAAUAUUCUGUCUAGAAUAGAAAAAACAAUAGAAUAGAAAAAGUUCUAUCUGUAUCAGUCUGAUCAAAGAUGUGAGCAUAAUUAUUCUUGUCAUACAUAUAGUCUAAUGAAUGUCUAAAGUGAAUUCUUAUAACUGCUUGUAACAAAAUAUUUCAUUUGGCAAAUGUUAUUUCACAACUUUCCUAAUUGCCCAUGUACUUUGUAGAUUGGUUUUCACAGAAUUCCAUGGACUUUAACUGCUGAACCAAUGAUGCACUGAUUUUGUCACUUGUACCAGCUAACGCAUCUGGGAGGCAACAAAACAAUACUCUCCUGAGGUUAAUGUGGACCAAAAACUAGAUUUCAUAUAAAAGAGUUUAUUCCUUCUACUUGAGGUGUGACAUGAAGGAAAGUAAUGGAAAUAAUUCUGCCCUCCCAUUCUCAAGGGCCAGGGGGAAUUCAAAUAUUGAACGGAAGUGAUUUUGGAAUUGCAUGGAAUUCUCACUGCCAUCCCAAAGAAAUGCUGAUCUUGUCACUCUUACCUGUUUCAUUCCCUGGGGGCAGAACAAAAGGACGCACUCCAAAGAUCGGCAUGAACCAAGAACUGGGUUUCAUAUAAAAUAUUUUAUUCUGUCCUCUUGAGAUGUGACAUGAGAAAAGUAUUGAGAAUACUUCUAUCACCUCAUCUUCAAGAAUCCGUAGGAAUUCUCCCAUGGUGGACUUUACGGUUAACCUGAACAGGUCUUGGAAAAAGGACUUUAAACAUUCUCCUGUUCUGUGGAAUAAGUAUACUUUUUUCUGGACAUACACCUUGUCAGUGAGUUCCAUGUGAUACUAGAGUUGCAUAGAUUUUUAACCUUUACGCCAAUGAAGAUCUGAGGCAAACAUUGCCCCUUUUUUAGAAGUUUGCAUUUGUCACUGAUAACUGUAAUAAUUGAUCUUGUUGAAAAGCCUGGGAAAUGAAGAUCUGAUAUGUCACUUUUACCGGCUUCCUCAACUGAAAAAGAAUACAAUGAAACACGCUGAGAAUUUUUGUGCUUUCUCAGUCUUGCUGAUGAUCUUUCUAUGGGCCUGAAGCGUGGAGAGUGCCAGAGAGGCUGAUCCUCAGCAGUGUGGCAGAGGAAAGUUGGGUGCGACUAAGGGGUAUGCGGUGCCCACAUGCCACUGGGUCCUCAGCAGUACCACCUGAUUGGAAGUGAUAUUGGUGGAAGACAACAUUUUGCCGCUUGGAAUUCUCACCUCCACACCAAAGAAGUACUGUUUUUGUCAUUUGCACCAGCUUCUUUCUCCAGGAAAGAUCAAAACGAUGCACUGCAAGUGUGAUUGGUCCAGAUAGCUGCCUUAUCCAACUGCCUCCUUUGGACCACUUCAUCAUGGGACAGCUUGAUGCAAUCUACUUGACAAGACCCUGGAACCCCACACCCCUCAUGGAACCAGUGUCCACCUCCCAGUCACAGUGUGACCCCAGGGAACUCUUGCCUGCUUGCUUUAAACCCACCACUUAAAAGUCUCCACAGAAAACCUGUUUGAAUAGUACCCUUGACCCAAUAAGGGCAUUGGCCCCUGGGUGUCUCUCUCUCUCUCUCUCUCUCUCUCUCCCUCUCUCUCCCUCUCUCUCUCUCGCUCCCUGACCUCUGCGUGUGGACUCCAGGCAUGCCAUAUACCCCUCAGGACCUGAAGCAAAAGAAUGAAUUAAAGAAAACUCCAGAGAAUGAGCUGACAACCUACUCCCUGGUCAGUGGCUCUCCAUGCCUACCUGUGGUCUCUUGGACACCCUUGCAGAUGACUUCCUGGGAACUCUUCUGGGAGUGAAUGUUAUCAGCAAAUUCCCAAAACAACACCCCUUAGACAAAAAGCCUCCUCACCUAUGCAUUGCCUAGACCACCCACUAAAGGUGAUGGCCACAAAGAGGUGGAUUUGUUGAGUUGGUGCCAUUCCUUCUACUGCCAGCUUCACCAAAACAAUGACACAGUCUUCCUUCCGCAUGGAGACUCUUCUCUUUCCUGUGUUGCAGUGGAUGCCUCCUGCAGAUAAGAAAUGCUUAACUGAGAAAUGCUCAUGUUGGGAUAUCAUCGAUGAGACUUUAAUUUGGGCAUGGUGACUGUUUCCCUUGCUGCCACUUGACUCAAUCCCAGGAGCCUCAGUAGAGGAUAUAAUAUUACACAAGAUGCUCAAAAUGGUGGAAUUGCUCAGUGCUCCCAUAAAUAUACAUUUAUAAUUUUCAUUUGCCACAUGGUAAACUGAAAAAUACAGACUAUAUUAAAAAGAAACUGCAUGAUUUUUUUUCAAAAAUUCAAAGCAUAUUUAAAUAAUAUAUAAAUUAAAUGCCCUCCUCUCUUCCAAUUCUGUCCCUAUAGUUUUCCUCUAUUAAGUGAACUACAUGCAUUCUUUUAGUGGAUAGAUGCACACAAACACACAAGCCAUUAUGGGGAAGGAUCCACGUGUGUGGCCAUAUUGUAACACAUUUUUCUGCAAAUCACCUCUUUCAUUUAACAGCCCUUAUUCAAUGGCCUUUUUCUUUUUCAGUAGUACAUACACAUCUGUGUCAUUUGUUGAAUGACGACAUGAAUGUUUUGUAGAUAAAAUAUAAUUAAAUGUUUUAAGCAUUUCUCACUCAUAGAUAUUUAUGUUAGCACCAAAUUUCUGUGCAAUGAACCUCCCUAUAUAUCAGUAAUUUUGCAUUUGUCUAUAAUAUCAUAAUAAAU
ensembl:lncRNA SNHG14 small nucleolar RNA host gene 14